AUACCUUGGUGUUUGGCAGCACGUUAACCUACAGCUGUAGUGAUGGAGACUUGGUGCUGGCAGGGAGUUCAACAGCAGUUUGCAUGAAUAACGGAAGUUGGAGUUCCGAACCCCCAUCUUGCACGGGAUUCACGUCUCAAGAAGGUAAAAACAAUCCGACAGAAAUACUGAAUUCACAGGAUAUAUUGUGGAUCAUCAUUGCCGCCGUUGUUGUAUUGGUUCUGGUAGUCGUUGGCUGUAUCAUGUUGGCGAUAGUGUGCAGAGGGA